GCUGUAUGAUCUUUUCAAAAAGACAGAACAAGAUAAAGCACAAUUUAAAUGCAUAUCUGCAAUGCACCGGAGGACUAGUGGAUUAUGCGCAAGAGAAACGCCUAGGGGUAUGGAAUACUCAAAUUCUUUGCUUUAAUUUCCAAACAUUCAACAUUUAGAUGCCGUUGAAUGCUUCUGACACCUUGUCAGCAGUGAUGAACACCUCGGAGUAUAUCAGUCCAUUGGCCACUUGAAUUUGUUCCUUCCUUUUUGUAUUUAGGUUUCGAGCCUCAUCAGCUACCAUUGGGGAGAUGCAUGUAUCCGGACUAGGCCUAUAGCAUUAGUUGGAUAAUCACAUAUAUUUCACACUGAUCGGCAUUCCGGGCAAUGAACGGUCAUAGCUGGAGAAUUUCGGAGGUUCGGAUGUUGCUAUCACCAGAACAGCUUUUUUAAAUUGAAGGAUACGAUAGUAAUACUUAGGAUAGUACUUAAACCGAAUCUAGAUGCUGGUUUGCUCUUGAGUUUUCCUGGAGUUUCUUAUCAACUCCAGUCCACUGCUCUUCCUUCGGCCUUGUCAUAUCUGCCAAUUUGUAUGCCCGGUACUUAAAGAGAAUAAGGAUUAUUAUAUGCGUGCAAGUACACAUACAUGUACAUAUUUAUAUGGCAGAAAGAACCGUUUCCAGCCCCAUAAAGUAAAUAUUUUCGAUCAGCAUAACCAUAUCUGUCCGUCUGUCCCGAUGAGCGCCUAUAUCUCGGAGACUAUAGUCGAUAUUCCACUGUUGCAAGUAUAUUCCCGCGCAAAGGACGAACAUCUGUGGCAUCAACAAUUUUAAAACUAUACGAAACCUGAAACACGGAAUUGUUUGUUAUGGAUAAAAACCUUUUGUUUGUCAUUGUAUAAUGUUUUUAUUAUAAUAACUACCAUAUCAACAUCAAAGUUAAA